AGUAAUCAGUGCAAGCGGAGCUCUUUCCCUGAAUGAAUCCAAGUAACCCCAGUGGUUGCCUUCUGAAAUGAGCGGCAGCCACACAUCUGCACACAGGCUGUCCAGCGUGUAAACUCUGGUUCUAACGUACCAUGUCCAGCCGAGAGAGUCCUGCUGUGGAGUUUUCUACAACAACAGUCAGUUCAGUAGCUGUGCAGGCUGGGGACUCCAAAAUCGUUAUAGCUGUCAUAAAGUGUGGCAAAUGGGUACAACUUCAGUUGGCUGAAUCACAGCCCAAUCUUCUAGAAAUUGGAAGCAAUCAAGAUGAAACCAAAAAACUUCUUCACGAUCAUGAACUUCUUUUGGCCAAACUCAAGGCUUUGGAAGAUCGAGUAUGGGAACUCCUGCAAGAAGCAGACAGGACUGCUGAAGAGAACAAGGAUCAGAGUCAGGUCUAUGAUGCCAUGGCCGAGACGCUGGGUGAAGCAUGGGCAGCCCUGGUAUCCAUGCUUGAGAGGAGGAGGGAACUUCUCAGAUUGACCUCUGAAUUUUUUGAAAAUGCCUUGGAGUUUGCCAUUAAAAUAGACCAAGCAGAAGAUUUCCUCCAGAACACUCAGGAGUUUGAGAGUGCCGAGGCCUUGAAAUCACUCCUUCAACUUCAUGAACAUCAUACCAAAGAACUCUUAGAACGAUCUCUAGCCCUUUUAAACAAAAGUCAAGAACUCACUGACUUCAUAGAAAAAAUCAAGAGUGAUGGACCCAAUGUAAAUGCUGAGAUGAUUCAGGGAGCUCAAAACAGCUGCCUGAAGAUUGACAGUCUUCUUGAACUUCUCCAAGACAGGAGGCGGCAACUAGACAAGUACCUGAAGCAACAGCAGCAGGAACUGAGUCAGGUUCUGCAGAUGUGUCAGUGGGACCAACAGGAAAGUCAGGAAUGGAAUGCUGUGAUCGAGACGCUGAAGAGUGAGGCGCUGGAGCUUCUCCUUUCCAAGGAGCAUGUGCAGAGCGAACACCUGCAGCUCUCUAACCAGAAACUGAAUCAGCUUCAAGAGGAGUUUGGUCAUCUUAUGGAGGAAAGGAAAAGCUGGUUAAGAAAGGCAAAUGAGUUUUUUAACAGCGCAAACAAGGCAUUUGAUGCACUUGGAAGAGUUGAAGCUUACCUUAAGCUCCUUAAAUCAGAGGGUUUAAGUCUGCCUGUCUUGGCGGCGAGGCAUGAGGAAUUACACAGAGAAAUUAAAGACUGCACAGCUGAUGCUUUGCAGAAAGGACAAGCCUUGAUCAGCCAACUAGCUUCCUGCAGCUCUCGGCUGACCGGUGUCCGUGAGAUUAUGGGCUGCCUUGGAAGACGGGUAGAACAUUUGACUGAACAGUGUUCGGCGCACAGGGAAUUUGCUCUUAAGAGACAGCAAUUCACAGCCUCGGUGGAGGGCCGCCUAAGAGAGGUUGAAAUGUCCAUUCAGAAAAUCAGCACAAUACUUUCCAAUGCAAUGGAUGUUGGUUCCAGCCUUUCUGAAUCAGAGAAGAUUUUGAGUAAAUAUCUGGAACUAGAUAAACAAGCUAAGGAGACAUCACAUGAAUUAGAAGCAGCUGCAAAACUCUUGACAGAGAAACAUGAUUUUGAACUUGAUGAACUGGCAUCGCUUUCUUCUAAGGCUAAAUGGCUAGAGGAAGAAUUAAACAUAUUUGGCCAAAGCAUCAACUCCAGGUCACAAGUCCUGCAAACUUAUGUGGCAUUUCUAAAGUCAUCAGAGGAGGUAGAGAAGCAAUGUCAGGGCCUAAAGGAGUUUUACCAAACUGAUAUCCUACGAAAGGAGGAGGGCGGUGCUGAAGCCAAGCAUUGGUCUGACUCAGUGGAGAAGCAGUGGCAGCUAUUUUUAAAGAGGAGUUUUUUAACGCAUGACCUUGGGCUCGAGUUCCUUAAUUUAAUAAAUAUGGCAAAAGAAAAUGAAAUAUUAAAUGUGAAAAAUGAAGUACACAUCAUGGAGAACACUAUGGAAAGCCAGAAGGUGGAAAGGGAAGAACUCAGCCGCCUUCGGACGGCCUGGCAACUUAAAGCCGCUGCAAGCAAGCCCGUGAAACAGCAGUGGGCAGCAUUCAAAGAGCAGCUUAGAAAGACCACACACAACUUAAAACUUCUUCAGGAAGCGCUUAUGCCUGUGUCUGCACUUGACCUUGGAGGGAGUCUCCAGACCAUUUUAGGUCUACGGAAAAAAUGGAAUGAAAUGAAGCCUCAGUUCCAGCAACUGAAUGAUGAGGUUCAGUAUAUUAUAAAAGAGUCAGAAGAGUUAAAUGGCAAAGGAGCACCUGUGAAAGAAAAGUCUCAACAGCUGAAGGACCUUAUUCACUUCCAUCAAAACCUGAAACAGAGAAUCCGAGAUUACGAGGACAUCCUAUAUAAGAUUAUCCAGUUCCACCAAGUCAGAGAAGAGCUGGGAAGACUCUUCAAGUCAAGAGAACUGGAGUUUCCAGAACAGGCAAAGGAAAUGAAUGAUGCUCGCAAUGCCCAGGUCCUCCUCAGACGCUCUCGGGCAAAGCAGGCGCACGUAGGCCAUCUUCAUAAACUGGCCCUCUCCUUGGGGGUGGAUGUCAUCUCAUCAGUGCAGCAGCCUAACUGCUCUAACGUUUCUGCAAAGAACCUGCAGGAACAGCUGGACAUGCUUGAAGGGGACUGUCUGACCUGGCGUGCCCAGACCGAGGACCAUGAGCGGGCCCUGACCCGCAGCCUGGAGUUCUGCAUUACAAGGGAUGAGAUAGGCGAGCUCAAAGAAUCAUUCAAGGAAAUAAAAAAGAAAUUCAACAAUUUGAAGUUUAAUUACACUAAGAAAAAUGAAAAAGCUCGAAAUCUAAAAGCUCUCAAAUAUCAAAUUCAACAAGUGGAUAUAUAUGCUGAAAAACUACAGGCUUUGAAAAGGAAAAUGGAAAAAGUUGAGAAUAAAACUUCUUUCUUAAAUUAUCCAAAUAAUAACGUGAAUAUCCUUUUGGAAGCCAUGAGGGAUUUGCAGAAGCAUGUGGAUGAAUUUGACAAAGUUGUAACAGAUUACAGGAAGAAUUUGGACCUGGCCGAGCAUCUCCAGGAGUUGAUAGAAGAGUGUCACUUUUGGUAUGAAGAUGCAAGUGCCACAGUUGUAAGAGUUGGAAAGUAUUCCACAGAGUGCAAGACCAAGGAGGCAGUGGAGAUCCUCCACCAGCAGUUCAAAAAGUUUAUCACACCCUCAGUGCCUCAGCAAGAAGAAAGGAUUCAGGAGAUCAGUGACCUCGCUCAGCGCUUAUACGGUUUUGAAGAAGGGCAGAAAUAUGCUGAGAAAAUAAUGGCCAAACACAAAGAAGUUCUUGAAUCUGUCACUGAAUUAUGUAGCUCUCUCACAGAGCUUGAAGAAAAGCUGAAGCAGGGAGAUGUUUUAAAGUUGAAUCUGAAUUUGGAAGACUUCCAUGAUGACUGCAUUGACCUACUAAAAGGACCAGAGAGAAAUAAGCAGAUUAUAUUCAAUGAUGAACACAAUAAGGAGCAGGCCCAGCCAGCAGCCACCUUGGCCGUCAAUGGAGCACGAAAGGGUCAGCUUCCACAGGGCGUAAAGCAGCUGGUCCCCAGCAAAGAGAGUGCCCAAGGCCUGCUUCUGCCUGUGGACGUGCUUUCAGGAGAAGAAUAUGAGUGUGUUUCACCCGACGACAUCUCCCUGCCUCCAGUCCCAGGAAGCCCUGAUUCUCUCCUCACUCCGUCUGACAUGGAGCUGGAGGCGCGUGUCAGCCCGUUCCCCUGCCAUCACCUAAGCGGCCACCAGAUGCAGAUGGGGGCCAGCGGUCCAGGAGAGGCCCCGGAAUCUGGCUUUCCUCCACCUGCUGCUUUUGCUGAUGCUUGCAAUAAGAGAGAAACGUUUUCAAGUCAUUUUGAGAAGCCUUCCCCCCAGGUCCAACCUGAGCCCCCAUUAACAUCCCAAGGAUUUCUGGAAAAGAGUACUGCCUUCCACAAAAUCAGUGCUCAACUUCCAGAGAGCAUGUGCAGUGAAGUGCAUGACAGAGCUUCGCAACAGCACCCCCAGGCUCAGGGGCAUUUGCUAGAAACACCAGAGAAAAUGCAUGCUGAUAAUAACGUCACUAAAACCCGAAAUAGGCUGCAUGCUUCCCAGGAUGCAUUCUCAGGCCUCGGGUUUCACCCAGGGCCCAGCCAGGCCUGUCAGAGGCAAAUGGUUCCCCGAGAAGAGAUGAUAAGUACAGCAGCUAAGACCAGCAUGGUCAGCCUAGCUGGCCGGGCCCCUAAUUUCUCCAGGCUCCUGUCUAACGUAACUGUCAUGGAAGGUUCUCCAGUGACUUUGGAAGUCGAAGUAACAGGAUUUCCAGAGCCUACACUGACAUGGUACAAGAAGGGCCAGAAACUGUCUGCAGAUGGGCAUUUGCAGGUUUUACACGAGGAGACAAGACACUUGGUCUUCAUUCCGAAGGCAUGCGAGGCAGACGCAGGCCUCUAUGUGGCGCGGGCCCAAAACCCUAGCGGCAUUCUCUCUUCCAGUGUCAUCCUCCACGUGACAGGUAACUGCAGGCCGCUCAUCACGAGGAUAAACUGGAUCGUGCUGUGUGUCAUCUAUGUUACCGUGUCCCUGAUGUACUGGCUACUCACACAGUAA
rnacentral:lncRNA from 1 species